rnacentral:rRNA from 1 species
GACGAACGCUGGCGGCGUGCCUAAUACAUGCAAGUAGAACGCUGAAGGAGGAGCUUGCUUCUCUGGAUGAGUUGCGAACGGGUGAGUAACGCGUAGGUAACCUGCCUGGUAGCGGGGGAUAACUAUUGGAAACGAUAGCUAAUACCGCAUAAGAGUAGAUGUUGCAUGACAUUUGCUUAAAAGGUGCAAUUGCAUCACUACCAGAUGGACCUGCGUUGUAUUAGCUAGUUGGUGGGGUAACGGCUUACCAAGGCGACGAUACAUAGCCGACCUGAGAGGGUGAUCGGCCACACUGGGACUGGGACACGGCCCAGACUUCUACGGGAGGCAGCAGUAGGGAAUCUUCGGCAAUGGACGGAAGUCUGACCGAGCAACGCCGCGUGAGUGAAGAAGGUUUUCGGAGCGUAAAGCUCUGUUGUAAGAGAAGAACGAGUGUGAGAGUGGAAAGUUCACACUGUGACGGUAUCUUACCAGAAAGGGACGGCUAACUACGUG